rnacentral:rRNA from 1 species
CCUACGGGUGGCUGCAGUCGAGAAUCAUUCACAAUGGGGGAAACCCUGAUGGUGCGACGCCGCGUGGGGGAAUGAAGGUCUUCGGAUUGUAAACCCCUGUCAUGUGGGAGCAAAUUAAAAAGAUAGUACCACAAGAGGAAGAGACGACUACCUCUGUGCAAGCAGCCGCGGUAAUACAGAGGUUUCAAGCGUUGUUCGGAAUCACUGGGCGUAAGGCGUGCGUAGGCUGUUUCGUAAGUCGUGUGUGAAAGGCGCGGGCUCAACCCGCGGACGGCACAUGAUACUGCGAGACUAGAGUAAUGGAGGGGGAACCGGAAUUCUCGGUGUAGCAGUGAAAUGCGUAGAUAUCGAGAGGAACACUCGUGGCGAAGGCGGGUUCCUGGACAUUAACUGACGCUGAGGCACGAAGGCCAGGGGAGCGAAAGGGAUUAGAUACCCGGGUAGUC